AUAUUGGACAAUGGGCGCAAGCCUGAUCCAGCCAUGCCGCGUGAGUGAUGACGGUCUUAGGAUUGUAAAGCUCUUUCACCGGUGAAGAUAAUGACGGUAACCGGAGAAGAAGCCCCGGCUAACUUCGUGCCAGCAGCCGCGGUAAUACGAAGGGGGCUAGCGUUGUUCGGAUUUACUGGGCGUAAAGCGCACGUAGGCGGACUUUUAAGUCAGGGGUGAAAUCCCAGAGCUCAACUCUGGAACUGCCUUUGAUACUGGAAGUCUUGAGUAUGGAAGAGGUGAGUGGAAUUCCGAGUGUAGAGGUGAAAUUCGUAGAUAUUCGGAGGAACACCAGUGGCGAAGGCGGCUCACUGGUCCAUUACUGACGCUGAGGUGCGAAAGCGUGGGGAGCAAAC
rnacentral:rRNA from 1 species